rnacentral:rRNA from 1 species
UUAGAGUUUGAUCAUGGCUCAGAGCGAACGCUGGCGGCAGGCUUAACACAUGCAAGUCGAACGGGCGUAGCAAUACGUCAGUGGCAGACGGGUGAGUAACGCGUGGGAACAUACCUUUUGGUUCGGAACAACACAGGGAAACUUGUGCUAAUACCGGAUAAGCCCUUACGGGGAAAGAUUUAUCGCCGAAAGAUUGGCCCGCGUCUGAUUAGCUUGUUGGUGAGGUAAUGGCUCACCAAGGCGACGAUCAGUAGCUGGUCUGAGAGGAUGAUCAGCCACAUUGGGACUGAGACACGGCCCAAACUCCUACGGGAGGCAGCAGUGGGGAAUAUUGGACAAUGGGCGAAAGCCUGAUCCAGCCAUGCCGCGUGAGUGAUGAAGGCCCUAGGGUUGUAAAGCUCUUUUGUGCGGGAAGAUAAUGACGGUACCCGCAGAAGAAGCCCCGGCUAACUUCGUGCCAGCAGCCGCGGUAGUCGGGCC